UACGGGGGGAGCAAGCGUUGUUCGGAUUUACUGGGCGUAAAGGGCGCGUAGGCGGCGUGACAAGUCACUUGUGAAAUCUCCGGGCUUAACUCGGAACGGUCAAGUGAUACUGUCGUGCUAGAGUACAGAAGGGGCAACUGGAAUUCUCGGUGUAGCGGUGAAAUGCGUAGAUAUCGUAAGGAAGACCAGUGGCGAAGGCGGGUCUCUGGACAGUUCCUGACGCUGAGGCACGAAGGCCAGGGGAGCAAACGGG
rnacentral:rRNA from 1 species